rnacentral:rRNA from 1 species
CCUACGGGAGGCAGCAGUGAGGAAUAUUGGUCAAUGGACGCAAGUCUGAACCAGCCAUGCCGCGUGCAGGAAGACGGCUCUAUGAGUUGUAAACUGCUUUUGUACGAGGGUAAACGCAGAUACGCGUAUCUGUCUGAAAGUAUCGUACGAAUAAGGAUCGGCUAACUCCGUGCCAGCAGCCGCGGUAAUACGGAGGAUUCAAGCGUUAUCCGGAUUUAUUGGGUUUAAAGGGUGCGUAGGCGGUCGGAUAAGUUAGAGGUGAAAUCCCGAGGCUCAACUUCGGAAUUGCCUCUGAUACUGUUCGGCGAGAGAGUAGUUGCGGUAGGCGGAAUGUAGGGUGUAGCGGUGAAAUGCUUAGAGAUCAUACAGAACACCGAUUGCGAAGGCAGCUUACCAAGCUACUUCUGACGUUGAGGCACGAAAGCGUGGGGAGCAAACAGGAUGAGAUACCCCGGUAGUC